rnacentral:rRNA from 1 species
AACGAACGCUGGCGGCAGGCCUAACACAUGCAAGUCGAACGAGAAGCCACCUUCGGGUGGUGGAAAGUGGCAGACGGGUGAGUAACGCGUGGGAACGUGCCUUUCGGUUCGGGACAACCCAGGGAAACUUGGGCUAAUACCGGAUACGCCCUUCGGGGGAAAGAUUCAUUGCCGAAAGAUCGGCCCGCGUCGGAUUAGCUAGUUGGUAGGGUAACGGCCUACCAAGGCGACGAUCCGUAGCUGGUCUGAGAGGAUGACCAGCCACACUGGGACUGAGACACGGCCCAGACUCCUACGGGAGGCAGCAGUGGGGAGUAUUGGACAAUGGGCGCAAGCCUGAUCCAGCCAUGCCGCGUGGGUGAAGAAGGCCCUAGGGUUGUAAAUCCCUUUCAGCGGGGAAGAUAAUGACGGUACCCGCAGAAGAAGUCCCGGCUAACUCCGUGCCAGCCGCCGCUGUAAGAC